rnacentral:rRNA from 1 species
UACGUAGGGUCCGAGCGUUGUCCGGAGUUACUGGGCGUAAAGCGCGCGCAGGCGGCUACACAAGCAUGGCGUGAAAGCCCCCCGGCUCAACCGGGGAGGGUCGUCGUGGACUGUGUGGCUUGAGGGCGGGAGGGGCUGGUGGAAUUCCCGGUGUAGUGGUGAAAUGCGCAGAUAUCAGGAGGAACACCAAUGGCGAAGGCAGCUCGCUGGGACGUGACUGACGCUGAGACGCGAAAGCGUGGGGAGCAAACAGG